AGAUCACCGCCCCUUCAGAGAAAUAUUUCCGUGGCCCGUUGGUGUUUGUCUCUUAUCGUGCGCCGAAAACCGUGGGCUGGAGGAGAGAGAGAGAAAGAGAGAGGAAAGUGAUCGCGGAGAUGUUCGAGCUGUUCGUCCUGGGGUGCACCGGCGUGGUGGUCUUCAUCCACGGCGCCAACUUCUUCUUCCGCGCCCUCUCCCAUCGCCUCACCGCCCGACCCCUCAGCUUCUUGGGAAUCGCUGGGUGGUGAAAGGGCUUCGAACGCGGAUGGAAUCGUGGGAACUCCUCAUCCAUGCGGAAGAUAAUUAUUGAUUGAUUAAGGCGAAGCAUGUAAUCUAUGUAUAUAUUCUGACGAUUUAUAUGAAUUAAAGACGAUCAAUUUGGCUUUACUCUUAA